AAAGGGCGGGGCGUCUCCUAAUCCCAAGUCCAGCCGCCGCCGUCUCUUCUCGCUCCAAAAGUCGUUUUCCAGAGAUUUUUUUCAACGCCAGCCGUUGUCUCUCGCUUGCCUGCAUUUCCGAUCCUGAGGCAGUCCUCAUCUCAUUCUUAUCCAACCGGGAGGUUGGGAACGAGAUCACAGCUACCUACCUGUAAGUUCUCUUCUCCUUCUGCUCUUCUUUUUUUCCGAGUCCAGCGAGAGGACAUUCAGUAAUCAGUAGCUUCUGAGUUCUGACUACUACACAAUUGAAUAUAGAAAUGGUUUGAGGAUUGUUAAAUUUUCAAUUGAAUAUGUGUACCGAUACAACUGAAUAUGGUUUGAGAAAUGUGUACCGUCGUGUAUCUGUACCAAGAAAAUUUCCGAAUUUCCCAACCAGCAUCUUGUGCGACCCAUCUGUCGGCGUUUCGAGACAGGGGGUCACUAAGCCGACGAGUGAGUGUGCUGCGUGCCCCAGCUCAGAUGGGUCGAGCGCGUGGGCGAGCGCGAAGGGGGGAGAGGCGAGGUGGCCGGAGUCGAGCGUGAGAGAGGUGGAAGUCCCGCAGCCUUCGUGUUCGUCCCGCGCCCAGGUCAGGUGCGCUUGCAGUAGGGGGGUUACAAGCGUCCACGCGGGUGAGGGAAGCGAGCGGCCCCAAGAGAGCGCCUGUCCCGUCCUCGGUCCCGCGCGGCCAACCUUCUCUAAGAAGGCCCUGGUCCUCCCUUUUAUAGUCGUAAGGAGAGGAUCCAGGUGUACAAUGGGGGGUGUAGCAGAGUGCUACGUGUCUAGCGGAGAGAGAGCUAGCGCCCUAGGUACAUGCCAAUGUGGCAGCCAGAGAGGUCUUGGCACCUUGCUGGCGUGAUGUCGUGGCUGUCGGAGGCGCGACGGAGCCUAGCGGAGGGACAGCUGUUGGAGCGGUCGAGUCCCUGCUGACGUCGCCCUGCUUCCGUAAGAGAGCUGGGGGCCGCCGUCGUCAUAGAGUUUGUGGAGCGCCAUCAUUGCCCAUCCGGCGGAGCUGGCCGGAUGGGACGCCGGUCUUGUUCUCCGUGACCCGAGUCGAUUCGGGGUAGGAUGAUGAUGGCGCUUCCUGUUGACGUGGCGGGUCUGUGCCCUAGGCAGGGUGACGUGGGGGCUCCUCCGAAGCCGAGGUUGAGUCUGUCCUCUGUUGCCGAGGCCGAGCCCGAGCCAUGGGUCGGGCGAGGCGGAAGUCGUUCGGCCGAGGCCAGGGCGGAGUCCGAGCCCUGGGGUCGGGUGAGGCGGAGUUUCGUCGUCUUCCGGGUCUUAGCCCGAGUCCGAGCCCUGGGGUCGGGCGGAGCGGAGUUCGCCGUCUUCCGGGUCUUAGCCCGAGUCCGAGCCCUGGGGUCGGGCGGAGCGGAGUUCGCCGUCUUCCGGGUCUUAGCCCGAGUCCGAGCCCUGGGGUCGGGCGGAGCGGAGUUCGCCGUCUUCCGGGUCUUAGCCCGAGUCCGAGCCCUGGGGUUGGGCGGAGCGGAGUUCGCCGUCUUCCGGGUCUUAGCCCGAGUCCGAGCCCUGGGGUCGGGCGGAGCGGAGUUCGUCGUGGCGCCUUUGGCAAGGCCUGACUGCCUGUCAGACUCACUCUGUCGAGUGGCACCGCAGUCGGAGUGGCGCAGGCGGCGCUGUCCUUCUGUUAGACUGGUCAGUGGAGCGGUGGAGUGACGGCGGUCACUUCGGCUCUGCCGGGGGGGCGCGUGUCAGGAUAAAGGUGUCAGGCCACCUUUGCGUUAAAUGCUCCUGCAAUUUGGUCAGUCGGUGUGGCGAUUUAGUCAAGGUUGCUUCUGAGCGAAGCCAAGGCCUCGGGCGAGCCGGUGAUGUGUCCGCCGUAAAAAGGGGGGCCUUGGGCGAGACGGAAGUCUCUCGAGGUCGGCUGCCCUUGGCCGAGGCUAGGCUCGGGUGAAGCGUGAUCGAGUCACUCGUGUGGACUGAUCCCUGACUUAAUCGUACCCAUCAGGCCUUUGCAGCUUUAUGCUGAUGGGGGUUACCAGCUGAGAAUUAGGCGUCUUGAGGGUACCCCUAAUUAUGGUCCCCGACAGUAGCCCCCGAGCCUCGAAGGGAGUGUUAGCACUCGCUUGGAGGCUUUCGUCGCACUUUUUUGCAAGGGGACCAGCCUUUCUCGGUUGCAUUUUGUUCCGGUGGGUGCGCGCGAGCGCACCCGCCGGGUGUAGCCCCCGAGGCCUCGGAGGAGUGGUUACACUCCUUCGAGGUCUUAAUACCUCGCGUAACGCUUCGGCUGGUCUGGUCGUUCCCUCAUGCGAACUGGCCGUAGCCCGGGUGCACGGUCGGGGCCCAAGCUCUCGGGCUGGUAUGUUGACGCUGUCAACGGUUUGGCCGGAGCCGGUUUUUGCGAGAGCAGCCCCCGAGCCUCUGCACAGGGCGAGAGGACGAUCAGGGACAGACUCGACUUUUUACAUACGCCCCUACGUCGCCUUUCCGCAAGGAGGAGGGGGGGAGUGCGCCAUGUUACCCUCGAUGGGCACCGAACAUGGUGUCUCCGGUGAGCUGCAAGCGGGUAAUCCGAGUGGACGUCCGUGCCCCGUUCGUUGGGGGUCGGCUAGGGGCCCAGAGGCACGCCCAAAAGUACCUGCGGGUGAUUUGCCGGACCCGGUCCCCUGGCGACGGGGUCCGAGGGCUCGAUGCCUCCCUCUGAUGGGAUUCCGUUACAAGAUCGUUCCCGCUGGUCUCGGAAAUGUCCUAGGGUACCUCGGGAGCGCAGCCCGAGCCUCGGUUAUGUAUCGAACGUACCCCUGGUCAUCCCUAGCUCGGUGUCUGAGGCGACUGUGAACCCUUCGGGGGCCAGCCUUCGAACCCCUGAUCAGUAAUGGGCGCGGAGCCCGAGUAGCCUGAGGCGGCCAUGGAACCCUUCGGGGGGCUGGCCUUCGAAACCCUGACCAGUAGUGGGUGUCGGGCCCACGCGAUCUGAGGCGACUGUUGAACCCUUCGGAGGGCCAGUCUUCGAACCCCUGAUCAGUAGGGGGGCUCGGAGCCCGGUUCCUUCGCGGAGAAGGGUCCUUUUCGGGGUAUCCCCUUUCCCGGUCCCUGUUGCAAGAGAUAGAGAAAGAGGAAAAAGGAAAAGGAUACGAAAUCGAACGACGUGGCGUACCUUUUCUGACGCGGUUAUCACGGCGAAGGCGAAGCGUCACGCGCUUCUCCCGCCAGAGGCGCCGCAUGUCCCGCCGCGGAGUUAAUGCGACGGGGCGAGUGGUUGGCGGGGUGGCCGUUACGCGUGCGCGAUCCGUUCGAGGAACGGGUCACGGGUGCACCGUCUUCACGCCGUGAGAGGAGGCUCUCUUGCUGUCCCAGGACGGGACGUGAGCCUGGCUGACGACGUGACUGCUGCGUCCGCCCGCCUGCCACCGCCAUUACUGCCGACCCACUUUCGGUCGCUUUGACCAACGCGCCAGGCUGGCGCUGCUGGGCCGCCUCGAGUCGCGGCAUAGGCUCCGCAACCGAAGAGGCGCGACGGUGGCGCAAGUGGUGGUGCGGUUGCUUGCAUGCAGCAACUGGCGCGCCGGUUGCUUGACGCGUGGGCCUGGGUUCCCAAGCUGGCGUGUCAGAAGUCGGAGAAGCGCGUCCACCUGGCGCGGUUGCAUGCCGCCUGCAUGGCUGCCUGCCCCUUCCGCCCGUUGGUCUGGGCAAAAGUGGGGGGUCGCUUGUAACCGCUGGACGGUCGUGCGCACCACGCGCGGCGGUUUGGCUUCUUCUGCCCUGAGCUGGUUUGCAUGACAUGCGGGACCCAGCCCCCGAGUCGCAGGGGAGGGCCUUGGAGCGUGUUGGAGAAGACUCAGCCCGCGGCGUCUGGGGGCGCACGUAGGGAGAGUUGCCUUUAAAAGGAGGGAGACUCCUUUCGGAAGGCAACCAUGCCUUCUUCCUCCCUUAUGCGUCGUGUCUUUCCAUCUUCCAAGCCCCCGGAUGGGGGGUAUCCGCCGCCUUUCCGCCUCCUCGUUGGAGGAACGCAACUCCAUGGGAGUUGGUACCUCUCAGCCAUCGUUCGGCUUCAAGGAUUUUCAUCACGCAGCCUGGCCACACCCCGCCACCGGCGGUCACCCAAGAUGGUGACCUCCAGUUUGACGGUGGGGAAAGCGGGCCAGGCCGCGGCCUCUACUCCUCCCUCGGCCUCAAGGAUUUUCGUCAUCCAGGCCAAGAUGGAAGAUGAGGCGAGUCGGGGGGCCGCCCCCGCGUGGGUCGGCUGCCCUUUUCUUCCCCCCGGAGCCUAGCCGUGUUGUCCGUCAGCGGAGCCGACGCCAAAGUCGAUCAGCCGAGGCCUCGGGUCGGGCUGGCGCCCUUGGAAGCCGGUUGGCCGAGGCCCCAGGGGUAACCGGCCGAGCCGCCUGCUCGGGCCGGAUUCCCGGAGGAGUCCCUGGACCGCGUCGCCGUCCGAGGCUGGGUCGGACUUUGCUGAAGACGUCGUCGAUGCCGAGGGUGCUACGGCUCCCUUCAGCGUGAAGACCCGAGCCUGCAGGAUCAGAUCGUCUUGUAGCGUGUGCCUUCUGCGGCCGCCGAGGCCAGAAAACACACCCUCGUCGUGCUUGCGAAGCUGCGUCUUUUUUCCUCUUGUUUCGAGCAUCUGGACUCUCUGUCGGUAACAUGGAUGUUUGUGCGAGCGAGAGUUGCUUCUCGCGGAAGGGACGAGUGAGGUAUCCGUAUCCCAGAGGCGUGGGAAUCCCUCGGCUCGGUCGGCCUUGCCGCUUACGCGUACUUUCACCCGUCCAUGAGGCCCUAUCCCCGACUUAGUCGAGAAAGCUUGAAGGACUGCUUCGGCAGGAGAGCUUCCGAACGUGAAGACUUGUUCGGUCCACGGAGUCGCUUUAUCCGAGCGCGAGUUACUUAUCGCAGAAGGUGAUGAGUGAGGUAUCCGUAUCCCGGAGGCGUAGGAGUCCCUCGGCUCGGUCAGCCUUGGCUGCUUACGUGUACUCCGUCGUUUCCAGGAUCCGCUUUUCGAAGUAGUCAAGAAGCACGAAAGUAAUCCUGCUAAAAAGAGAUCCUUUUUCGAGGAAAAAUUCGACGCAGAGGGGGUCUCCCCCCUUUUAGCCCCCGAGGGAGGGUCGGGCUUUGCCGAGGCUAGGCCGACCCUUCCUUGACGACUAAACUUUGCGUAGGUGCGAGGUAUAUGAACAACUUGGAAACAUCUUAAGGGUAGAAGCGACGUAGCUGUUUGAUGUUCCAAGCGUUGUCGUAGAUCUCGCCUUGAUUGUUGGCCAGCUUGUAUGUUCCGGGCUUCAGAACUUUGGCGAUGACGAAUGGCCCUUCCCAGGGGGGCGUGAGCUUGUGCCUCCCUCGGGUGUCUUGCCGCAGCCGAAGCACCAGAUCGCCCACCUGGAGGUCUCGGGACCGGACCCCUCGGGCGUGGUAGCGUCGCAGGGACUGCUGGUACCGCGCCGAGUGUAGUAAGGCCCUGUCCCGAGCCUCCUCCAGCUGGUCCAGCGAUUCCUCUCGGCUAGCUUGGUUGCUUUGAUCGGUGUAGGCCCUCGUCCUCGGGGAGCCAUAUUACAGGUCAGUGGGCAAGAUAGCUUCAGCCCCGUAGACCAGGAAAAACGGCGUGAAACCCGUGGCACGACUCGGCGUCGUCCUUAGGCUCCAGACCACCGAGGGGAGUUCCUUCAUCCACCGCUUGCCGAACUUGUUGAGGUCGUUGUAGAUCCGAGGCUUUAGCCCUUGUAGAAUCAUGCCGUUGGCACGCUCUACUUGCCCAUUCGACAUGGGAUGAGCCACGGCGGCCCAGUUCACCCGGAUAUGGUGAUCCUCGCAAAAAUCCAAGAAUUUUUUGUCGGUGAACUGGGUACCGUUGUCGGUGAUGAUGGAGUUCGGGACCCCGAAGCGAUGGAUGAUGUUGGUGAAGAACGCCACUGCCUGCUCGAACCUGAUGCUGUUCAGAGGUCGGACCUCGAUCCACUUGGAGCAUUUGUCGAUGGCGACCAGCAGGUGCGUGUAGCCCCCGGGCGCCUUCUGCAAGGGACCGACGAGGUCCAGACCCCAUACGGCGAAGGGCCAGGUGAUGGGUAUCGUCUGCAGAGCCUGAGCGGGCAGGUGAGUCUGCUUCGCAUAGAAUUGGCACCCUUCGCAGGUGCGGACAAUUCUAGUGGCGUCAGCCACCUUGGCCAGUAGAAGCCUUGUCGGAAAGCAUUCCCGACAAGGGCUCGGGGCGCUGCGUGAUGGCCGCAAGCCCCCGAGUGUAUUUCUUGCAGCAGUUCCCGACCUUCGGCGAUGGAGAUGCAUCGCUGGAGGAUGCCCGAGGGGCUGCGAUGGUAGAGCUCCUCUUCAUCGCCCAGCAAGACGAACGACUUGGCGCGUCGCGCUACCCGCCGAGCCUCGACUUGGUCGAGGGGUAGCUCUCCUCGACGGAGAUAUUGCAGGUACAGGGCCUGCCAAUCUCGAUCUGGCGUGGCCCCGCUCUGCUCUUCCUCGACGUCCAGUGCCUCGCCCUCGGGGGCCGAGGGUACCUCGGGCUGUGCCGAGGGUGCCUCGGGCUGAGCCGAGGGUACCUCGGGCUCGGGCGCGUCGUCGAGCUUGACAGAGGGUUGAUGUAGAUCCCUGGAGAAGACGUCCGGGGGGACCGUCGUUCGCCCCGAGGCUAUUUUAGCCAGCUCGUCUGCGGUUUCGUUGUAGCGCCGAGCGAUGUGGUUGAGCUCGAGCCCAAAGAACUUGUCUUCCAGGCGCCGAACCUCGUCGCAGUAGGCCUCCAUCUUUGGGUCACGGCAGUGGGAGUUCUUCAUAACUUGGUCGAUGACGAGCUGUGAAUCACCGCGGGCGUCGAGGCGUCUGACCCCUAGCUCGAUGGCGGUCCGCAACCCGUUGACCAGAGCUUCGUACUCGGCCACAUUGUUGGACGCCGGGAAAUGGAGGCGCAGCACGUAGCGCAAGUGCUUUCCGAGGGGCGAGAUGAAGAGCAGGCCCGCGCCGGCUCCCGUCUUCAUCAGCGACCCGUCGAAAAACAUGGUCCAGAGCUCCGGUUGGAUCGGAGCCGUCGGCAGCUGGGUGUCGACCCAUUCGGCCACGAAGUCCGCCAACACCUGGGACUUAAUGGCCUUCCGAGGGGCGAACGAGAUCGUUUCGCCCAUGAUUUCCACCGCCCACUUUGCGAUCCUGCCCGAGGCCUCCCGGCACUGGAUGAUCUCCCCCAGGGGGAAGGAUGACACCACAGUUACCGGAUGAGACUCGAAGUAGUGUCGCAGCUUCCGCCUUGUCAGGAUCACAGCAUACAACAGCUUUUGAACUUGUGGGUAGCGGAUCUUGGUCUCGGACAGCACUUCGCUGACGAAGUAGACCGGCCUCUGAACGGGCAAUGCAUGCCCUUCCUCUUGCCUCUCGACCACAAUCGCGGCGCUAACCACCUGAGUGGUCGCGGCGACGUAGACCAAGAGGGCUUCUCCAUCCGCCGGGGGCACCAAGACAGGCGCCUUCGUAAGGAGCGCCUUCAGGUUGCCGAGGGCUUCCUCGGCCUCAGGGGUCCAAGCGAAACACUCGGCCUUCCUUAAGAGGCGGUACAGAGGCAGACCUCUUUCGCCGAGGCGUGAGAUGAAGCGGCUCAGGGCCGCGAGGCAUCCCAUGACCCUCUGUACACCUUUUAAGUCCUUGAUGGGUCCCAUGCUGGUGAUGGCCGCGAUCUUCUCCGGGUUGGCUUCGAUGCCUCGCUCGGAGACGAUGAACCCUAGGAGCAUGCCUCGGGGCACCCCGAAGACACACUUCUCAGGAUUGAGCUUGACUCCUUUCGCCUUGAGACAUCGGAAUGUCACUUCAAGGUCGGAGAGGAGGUCGGAAGCCUUCCUUGUCUUGACUACGAUGUCAUCGACGUAGGCCUCGACUGUGCGACCGAUGUGUUCGCCGAACACAUGGUUCAUGCACCGCUGGUACGUCGCGCCCGCAUUCCUCAAACCGAACGGCAUGGUGACGUAGCAGUACAUGCCGAACGGCGUGAUGAAAGAAGUCGCGAGCUGGUCGGACUCUUUCAUCCGGAUCUGGUGAUACCCUGAGUAGGCAUCGAGGAAGGACAGGGUUUCGCACCCAGCGGUGGAAUCCACGAUUUGGUCGAUGCGAGGCAGAGGGUAGGGAACCUUCGGACAUGCUUUGUUGAGACCAGUGUAGUCUACACACAUCCGCCAUUUCCCCCCUUUCUUCCUCACAAGCACAGGGUUGGCAAGCCAUUCGGGAUGGAAUACCUCUUUGAUGAACCCUGCUGCCAUUAGCUUGUGGAUCUCUUCGCCAAUCACUCUGCGCUUCUCCUCGUCGAAUCGGCGCAGAGGCUGCCUGACGGGUCGGGCUCCGGCCCGAAUAUCCAGCGAGUGCUCGGCGACAUCCCUCGGUAUGCCGGGCAUGUCCGAGGGACUCCACGCAAAGACGUCGGCGUUUGCGCGGAGAAAGUCGACGAGCACUGCUUCCUAUUUGGGGUCGAGCCCGGAACCGAUCCGGAUCUGCUUGGUGGUGUCGCCACCGGGGUCAAGGGGGACGGCCUUGACCGUCUCCGCUGGCUCGAAGUUGCCGGCAUGGCGCUUCACGUCUGGCACCUCCUUGGAGAGGUUCUCCAGGUCGGCGAUGAGGGCCUCGGACUCGGCGAGGGCCUCGGCGUACUCCACGCACUCCACGUCGCAUUCGAACGCGUGUUUGUACGUGGGGCCGACGGUGAUGACCCCGUUGGGGCCCGGCAUCUUGAGCUUCAGGUAGGUGUAGUUGGGGACGGCCAUGAACUUCGCGUAGCAUGGCCUCACUAGUACGGCGUGGUAGGUUCCUCGGAACCCGACCACCUCGAACGUCAGGGUCUCCCUUCGGAAGUUGGAGGGCGUCCCGAAGCAGACGGGGAGGUCGAGUCGCCCGAGGGGCUGGACGCGCUUCCCAGGGAUGAUCCCGUGGAAGGGCGUAGCGCCUGCUCGGACGGAGGACAGAUCGACGCGCAAGAGCUUGAGGGUCUCGGCGUAGAUGAUGUUGAGGCAGCUGCCCCCAUCUAUCAGGACCUUGGUGAGCCUGACAUUGCCGACAACGGGGUCGACAACGAGCGGGUAUUUCCCCGGGCUCGGCACAUGAUCGGGGUGGUCGGCCUGGUCGAAGGUGAUGGGCUUGUCGGACCAGUCUAGGUAGACUGGCGCCGCCACCUUCACCGAGCAGACCUCCCGGCGCUCUUGCUUGCGAUGUCGAGCCGAGGCAUUCGCCGUAUGCCCUCCAUAGAUCAUGAAGUAGUCGCGGACCUCGGGGAACUCUCCUGCUUGGUGAUCUUCGUUCUUGUCGUCGUCGCGGGCCCUGCCACCCUCGGCGGGUGGCCCGGCCCUGUGGAAGUGACGCCGAAGCAUAACGCACUCCUCGAGGGUGUGCUUGACGGGCCCCUGAUGGUAGGGGCACGGCUCCUUGAGCAUCUUGUCGAAGAGGUUUGCACCUCCGGGGGGCUUCCGAGGGUUCUUGUACUCGGCGGCGGCGACAAGGUCCGCGUCAGCGGCGGCGCGUUUCGGUUGCGACUUCUUCUUGCCUUUCUUCUUGGCGCCGCGCGGAGCAGACGCCUCAGGAGCCUCUUCCGAUGGGCGGCCCUGGGGCUGCUUGUUCUUUCGGAAGAUAGCCUCGACCGCCUCCUGGCCAGAGGCGAACUUGGUGGCGAUGUCCAUCAGCUCGCUCGCCCUGGUGGGGGUCUUGCGACCCAGCUUGCUCACCAGGUCGCGGCAAGUGGUGCCGGCGAGGAACGCGCCGAUGACAUCCGAGUCGGUGAUGUUGGGCAGCUCGGUGCGCUGCUUCGAGAAUCGCCGGAUGUAGUCCCGGAGCGACUCCCCCGGCUGUUGCCGGCAGCUUCGAAGGUCCCAGGAAUUCCCGGGGCGCACGUAUGUGCCCUGGAAAUUGCCAGCGAAGGCUUGGACCAAGUCGUCCCAGUUGGAGAUCUGCCCAGAGGCAGGUGCUCCAACCAGGCGCGAGCAGUGUCGGAGAGGAACAGGGGGAGGUUACGGAUGAUGAGGUUGUCGUCGUCCGUCCCGCCCAGUUGGCAGGCGAGGCGGUAGUCCGCGAGCCACAGUUCUGGUCUCGUUUCCCCCGAGUACUUCGUGAUAGUAGUCGGGGGUCGGAACCGGGUCGGAAAUGGCGCCCGUCGGAUGGCCCGACUGAAGGCCUGUGGACCGGGUGGUUCGGGCGAGGGACUCCGAUCUUCCCCGCUGUCGUAGCGCCCCCCACGCCUGGGGUGGUAGCCUCGGCGCACCCUUUCGUCGAGGUGGGCCCAUCGAUCGCGUCGAUGGUGCUCGUUGCCGAGGUGGCCCGGGGCCGCAGGCGUAGUGUUGCGCGUGCGCCCGGUGUAGACCGAGGCUUUCCGCAUGAAUCGGGAAGUCGCGGCAUGAGGUUCCGAGGGAUAUCCUUGCCUUCGGGAGGCAGUGCUCUCGGCCCGUCGGGCCGCAGCGCCUUCUAGGAGAUUCUUGAGCUCUCCCUGGAUUCGCCGACCCUCGGUGGUUGAUGGCUCUGGCAUCGCGCGGAGGAGCAUCGCUGCGGCUGCCAGGUUCUGACCAACCUCGCUGGAUGCGGGCGGCGGCCUGACCCUGACAUCGUUGGCGACGCGGUGCUGGAGACCUUGGGGCAGGUGACGUAUUUCUCCGGCCAGGGGUUGGCCCGCCCAUGCCUGCCCGACGUCCCGACGGAUCGGCUCAAGCGCUCCUGUUCCCUCGUUGAGCCUGGCCUGCGCCUCGCGGACUUGCUCGAGUUGUGGGUCGUAACCCCCCGCCGGAGCGGGGACCACAGCUAGCUCCCGUGGGAUGUCGGCGCGAGGCACCGGCCUAGGAAGAUCACCGUCCUCCGGCAUGCCGAGAUGGUUGCCUUCGGAGAGAUCCCCUAGCUCGAUGUGGAAACAUUCGCGGCUUGGGCCGCAGCUCUCGUCGCCAAGGCUGCGGCUUCCGUCGGAACAGUCGGAUAGGCAGUAGUCACAUGCGGUCAUGAAGUCCCGCAUGGCACUGGGGUUGCCAAGUCCGGAGAAAUCCCAACAGAUGCUGGGAUCGUCAUCUUCCUCGGACCCAGAUGGCCCGUAGGUCGAGACGUCCGUCAGUCGGUCCUAAGGCGACCGCAUACGAAACCCCAGUGGGGUUGCACUCGCCUCAAUGAGAGCGCCCGCCAAAGCGAGGUCGUUUGGCGGGUUGAGGCCGAGUCGAAAUGACGUAAGAUGGGAGUUAGUCGGUACCUUUUGGUCGACGAGGAGCGACGUAGUCACAUCGGGGACUGGUUGCACCGUCAUCUCAGGUACGAGGGCGACGUCCUGCAGGCUUUCCGCGAGCGCGCCGGCGUCGUCUUCUUGCUCGGGGUCAGCGUGUCGCGGGGGGACGGCGCUUGCCUUCGUCUUGAACGCGAGGUCGACGUCCGGCGUGCCUUCCGUCGGGGCGUCGGGGGCGUCGAUUCGCUCGACGGCCAACGAAGCGCGGCCUCCCGCUUGGCCUUGAUGGCCCCGCCUCCUCCUCCGUUGGCGGGGGAGAGAACGAAGCGAGCUCGAAUGUUGCUCUUCCACCACGCGGGGAAGAUGUCGUCGAUUCCACCACCGGCGGGCGGGUCGUCGGCCGCCAUUGUCGUUGUCGCGCGGCGGUGGAAGAAGUAUCAUGUCGUAGCUGCCGUCGAAGGACAUGAACUCAAGAGUCCCGAAACGAAGCACCGCCCCGGGUCGGAGAGGUUGCUGGAGACUGCCCAUCUGGAGCUUGACGGGGAGCUGUUCGUCAGCACGCAGCAGGCCCCUACCUGGCGCGCCAACUGUCGGCGUUUCGAGACAGGGGGGUCCCUAAGCCGACGAGUGAGUGUGCUGCGUGCCCCAGCCCAGAUGGGUCGAGCGCGUGGGCGAGCGCGAAGGGGGGAGAGGCGAGGUGGCCGGAGUCGAGCGUGAGAGAGGUGGAAGUCCCGCGGCCUUCGUGUUCGUCCCGCGCCCAGGUCAGGUGCGCUUGCAGUAGGGGGGUUACAAGCGUCCACGCGGGUGAGGGAAGCGAGCGGCCCCAAGAGAGCGCCUGUCCCGUCCUCGGUCCCGCGCGGCCAACCUUCUCUAAGAAGGCCCUGGUCCUCCCUUUUAUAGUCGUAAGGAGAGGAUCCAGGUGUACAAUGGGGGGUGUAGCAGAGUGCUACGUGUCUAGCGGAGAGAGAGCUAGCGCCCUAGGUACAUGCCAAUGUGGCAGCCGGAGAGGUCUUGGCACCUUGCUGGCGUGAUGUCGUGGCUGUCGGAGGCGCGACGGAGCCUAGCGGAGGGACAGCUGUUGGAGCGGUCGAGUCCCUGCUAACGUCGCCCUGCUUCCGUAAGAGAGCUGGGGGCCGCCGUCGUCAUAGAGUUUGUGGAGCGCCAUCAUUGCCCAUCCGGCGGAGCUGGCCGGAUGGGACGCCGGUCUUGUUCUCCGUGACCCGAGUCGAUUCGGGGUAGGAUGAUGGUGGCGCUUCCUGUUGACGUGGCGGGUCUGUGCCCUAGGCAGGGUGACGUGGGGGCUCCUCCGAAGCCGAGGUUGAGUCUGUCCUCUGUUGCCGAGGCCGAGCCCGAGCCAUGGGGUCGGGCGAGGCGGAAGUCGUUCGGCCGAGGCCAGGGCGGAGUCCGAGCCCUGGGGUCGGGUGAGGCGGAGUUUCGUCGUCUUCCGGGUCUUAGCCCGAGUCCGAGCCCUGGGGUCGGGCGGAGCGGAGUUCGCCGUCUUCCGGGUCUUAGCCCGAGUCCGAGCCCUGGGGUCGGGCGGAGCGGAGUUCGCCGUCUUCCGGGUCUUAGCCCGAGUCCGAGCCCUGGGGUCGGGCGGAGCGGAGUUCGCCGUCUUCCGGGUCUUAGCCCGAGUCCGAGCCCUGGGGUCGGGCGGAGCGGAGUUCGCCGUCUUCCGGGUCUUAGCCCGAGUCCGAGCCCUGGGGUCGGGCGGAGCGGAGUUCGCCGUCUUCCGGGUCUUAGCCCGAGUCCGAGCCCUGGGGUCGGGCGGAGCGGAGUUCGCCGUGGCGCCUUUGGCAAGGCCUGACUGCCUGUCAGACUCACUCUGUCGAGUGGCACCGCAGUCGGAGUGGCGCAGGCGGCGCUGUCCUUCUGUCAGACUGGUCAGUGGAGCGGUGGAGUGACGACGGUCACUUCGGCUCUGCCGGGGGGGGCGCGUGUCAGGAUAAAGGUGUCAGGCCACCUUUGCGUUAAAUGCUCCUGCAAUUUGGUCAGUCGGUGUGGCGAUUUAGUCAAGGUUGCUUCUGAGCGAAGCCAAGGCCUCGGGCGAGCCGGUGAUGUGUCCGCCGUAAAAAGGGGGGCCUCGGGCGAGACGGAAGUCUCUCGAGGUCGGCUGCCCUUGGCCGAGGCUAGGCUCGGGUGAAGCGUGAUCGAGUCACUCGUGUGGACUGAUCCCUGACUUAAUCGUACCCAUCAGGCCUUUGCAGCUUUAUGCUGAUGGGGGUUACCAGCUGAGAAUUAGGCGUCUUGAGGGUACCCCUAAUUAUGGUCCCCGACACCAUCCAUCAGUUCUGGUGGUUAGUUUCACAGUGGCCAUUUCCCUGUGUUCAUCUAUGAUUCCGAGUAUGACUCUGACAUCACAAACGAUUCGUAUUCUGAGCUAGGCGUACGUUCUGCUGCCCUUUCUUAUCUACGUUCUGCUGCCGUUUUUUUCAUGCACUUGUCUGCACUCAGAGAUAGUGGAAAUAGGAAGGAUUGACUGUCUAUCAGCUAGAGUAGGUAUUUUGCAGGGCGCGAGUACAGUACUGCAUUAGUAGCAACCAAGUGACUGGUAUAAUCAGUACGACGUCUAUCAGACAAUGCCCUGACGACAAGUCGACAAUUAAGCCUAUUCAGUAACUUGUUAAGCUGAUCUCUGUAAAUUUGUGUGGAUUAUCAUGCAAGUGCUUAUCACGAAAUUGAGGUCUCUGUGACGUAAUUUAUUUAUUUUGGUGUAUGGGGUAUUCAGAAUCAUUAGUAGCCAUUUUUUUACUUGAAACCUAUGUGAUCAACAGAGAUGUGCUACUGUUGUUCAGGAAUAUACUUUUUCUUCUUUUGUGUGUUAAGUAAUGUUUCCAACAAAGUUUUUUGCAGUCUCGUCUAAUUACCUCCAACAAAUCAAUUGCAGGAGUGUUAAAAUAGCUCGCUGUUUUGGGAUUUGCCGCCUCAAGUUUCAUCUAGCUACCUCGAACAAAUCCUUCAAUCUCCAUGGCUACAUCGG
rnacentral:lncRNA from 1 species